rnacentral:lncRNA from 1 species
CAGGACCAGUGCAAUGGACAUCUUGCCACAACGUAAGCUGCACAUGUGUCUGUCACUUUGCAGGCUAGGUGGCCGAAGCUUGAUUUGAGUGUCAGCAAGUUAAAACUCAGGCACAUCCAUCUUUCCUGAGGCUCACUCUGAUUGCAGAGGUUGGGGAAGAGAUACUAGAUGGAAGCCCUUCAGGAGGCCCUUGCCAUGAUCCAGGUGAUAUCCUGCAAAGCUGGAAAUCACUGAGACCACUGAAGGAGAUACAUACAUAUAGCUAAAGAACCUCACAUCAUAGCAUGCCUGGAAAACAAAUAAACAAAUGAA